CCUACGGGUGGCAGCAGUAGGGAAUAUUGCUCAAUGGGGGAAACCCUGAAGCAGCAACGCCGCGUGGAGGAUGAAGGUUUUCUGAUUGUAAACUCCUUUUUUUAGAGAAGAUAAUUACGGUAUCUAACGAAUAAUCACCGGCUCACUCCGUUCCAGCAGCCGCGGGAAUACGGCGGGUGCAGGCGUUACUCGGAAUUACUGGGCGUAAAGCGCGCGUAGGCGGGAUAGCAAGUCAGAGGUGAAAUCCUAUGGCUUAACCAUAGAACUGCAUUUGAAACUGUUGGUCUUGAGUAUGGGAGAGGUAGGUGGAAUUCUUGGUGUAGGGGUAAAAUCCGUAGAGAUCAAGCGGAAUACUCAUUGCGAAGGCGACCUGCUAGAACAUAACUGACGCUGAUGCGCGAAAGCGUGGGGAGCAAACAGGAUUAGAUACCCUAGUAGUC
rnacentral:rRNA from 1 species